UACGAAGGGGGCUAGCGUUGCUCGGAAUCACUGGGCGUAAAGGGUGCGUAGGCGGGUCUUUUAAGUCAGAGGUGAAAUCCUGGAGCUCAACUCCAGAACUGCCUUUGAUACUGAGGAUCUUGAGUUCGGGAGAGGUGAGUGGAACUGCGAGUGUAGAGGUGAAAUUCGUAGAUAUUCGCAAGAACACCAGUGGCGAAGGCGGCUCACUGGCCCGAUACUGACGCUGAGGCACGAAAGCGUGGGGAG
rnacentral:rRNA from 1 species